GGGGUGCUGGCUCAGUGGUAGAGCGCUUGCCUAGCACAUGCAAGGCCCUGGGUUCAAUCCUCAGCACCACA
rnacentral:tRNA from 1 species